rfam:Gossypium raimondii chromosome 9, whole genome shotgun sequence.
GCUAGAAUAGCUCAGUUGGUUAGAGUGUGUGGCUGUUAACUAUAAGUUUGAAGGUUCAAACCCUUCUUCUAGUG